CAAUAAGCGGAGGGAAAAGAAACUAACAAGGAUUCCCCUAGUAACGGCGAGUGAACCGGGAAGAGCUCAAAUUUGAAAUCUGGCGUCCUCAGGGCGUCCGAGUUGUAAUCUAUAGAGGCGUUUUCCGUGCCGGACCGUGUCCAAGUUCCUUGGAACAGGAUAUCAAAGAGGGUGACAAUCCCGUACUUGACACGACGACCGGUGCUCUGUGAUACGUCUUCUACGAGUCGAGUUGUUUGGGAAUGCAGCUCAAAAUGGGUGGUGAGUUCCAUCUAAAGCUAAAUAUUGGCGAGAGACCGAUAGCGAACAAGUACCGUGAGGGAAAGAUGAAAAGCACUUUGGAAAGAGAGUUAAACAGUACGUGAAAUUGUUGAAAGGGAAACGAUUGAAGUCCGUUCGGACCGAGAGGGUUCGCCGGGUUCGCCCGGGGUUUCCCCCUCGGUCGGGUCAACAUCAGUUUUGUCCGGUGGAUAAGGGCGGUAGGAAGGUGGCACCCUCGGGUGUGUUAUAGCCUGCCGUCGCAUACAUCGGGUGAGACUGAGGAACGCAGCUCGCCUUUAUGGCCGGGGUCGCCCACGUCCGAGC
rnacentral:rRNA from 1 species